GUGUGUGGGAGCCGCUGGCCCACGGCAUUGCUGGAAUUCGAGCUGCUCAAGGCCGGGAUUGUCCCUCCGCAGCAUCCCAGACCCGACCCCAUGGGGGGUGUGCAGUGAGAGGCUCCAGCCCCUGGGUCAAGCAAUGCAUGGGGCUGUCGGCUUCCCUGUGCCCAAACAACCCAGUGGGGUGGGAAGGGAGCCCUUAACCACCGGCUCAGCCAGUAUCACCCAUCCCAAAGCCUGCAAGGAACCAGUUGGGAACCAGUCCUGUAAUGAGGUGCUCUGGAUCCAGGGCCUGUCUCCGGCUGGGGUGGUUAUAAAAGGGAGCGCCGGGAAGCACACCCGGCCCUCGGCUCCGGCGCUUGGGAUGUGGGGUGGCUCCAGUGCCGGCUGGAAGAGGAGGUUCAGCUGCUAUGGUCCCUGGGAGGCGGCAGAGAGCUGCGUGGUCCACACCUCGGCCAGCGUGUACCGACGGCUGCAGGAGAGCCCUCGGGGGGCGCUGAGCCCCCCCCGGUGCGACUCGGAGGACUCCGGGCUGGACAUGGGCAGCACUGAGCACUCCCCGUCCCCCCCGCGGCUCCGAGAGCCGCUUCCCCCUGGACGGGCUCGCACCGGAGCGGACCCCGGUCACGGACGCCCCCCCGGAGGCCGGCGCAGCGCAGCCGGAGGCAGCGGGUGCUGGGCCGAGGGCACCGCGGGGCCGUGAAGCCCCUUCGGGAGCCGGAGGAGCCGGCACCGGAGCCCCCCGGUGGGGCCGAACCGGGGCAGGGGCUGCGGUACCUGGAGCACGUCUGUCAGAUGCUGGAGCGCUUGGCCAAGCUGCAGCAGGACAACCGGCUCCUGCGGCAGCAGGCGGGGGGCGCCCGGAGCAGCCGCCCGGACACCACGGUGAGGGCCGGCAGCGGGCGGGGGGCGCAGGGACCGGGUGAUGCUCGACGGGGGCUACCGCAGCUCACGUCCGUGCUGAUCCUCACCUACAGCACAGCCGGGAUGCAGCCGGGAGGAAGGGGGAAAGGUUCCGGCCGCGCUCCUGCUCGGACAGCCAGGCUGCAGGUGA
rnacentral:lncRNA from 14 species